rnacentral:tRNA from 1 species
GUUCUUAUAGUUGAAGUACAACGAUGGUUUUUCGUACCAUAGGUCCUGGUGUAAAGAUACAGGUGGGAAUU